rnacentral:rRNA from 1 species
AGACCCGAAACCCGGUGAUCUAGCCAUGGGCAGGUUGAAGGUUGGGUAACACUAACUGGAGGACCGAACCGACUAAUGUUGAAAAAUUAGCGGAUGACCUGUGGCUGGGGGUGAAAGGCCAAUCAAACCGGGAGAUAGCUGGUUCUCCCCGAAAGCUAUUUAGGUAGCGCCUCGUGAAUUCAUCUCCGGGGGUAGAGCACUGUUUCGGCUAGGGGGCCAUCCCGGCUUACCAACCCGAUGCAAACUGCGAAUACCGGAGAAUGUUAUCACGGGAGACACACGGCGGGUGCUAACGUCCGUCGUGAAGAGGGAAACAACCCAGACCGCCAGCUAAGGUCCCAAAGUCAUGGUUAAGUGGGAAACGAUGUGGGAAGGCCCAGACAGCCAGGAUGUUGGCUUAGAAGCAGCCAUCAUUUAAAGAAAGCGUAAUAGCUCACUGGUCGAGUCGGCCUGCGCGGAAGAUGUAACGGGGCUAAACCAUGCACCGAAGCUGCGGCAGCGACACUAUGUGUUGUUGGGUAGGGGAGCGUUCUGUAAGCCUGUGAAGGUGGCCUGUGAGGGUUGCUGGA